GCCUGCUCCUCUUCAAUGUUUAAGUAAAGGUUGCCGGUUGAUGCUGACACCUUGUGGCGAAGGUAGGGAAUGUACGUGUAAGGAACCCAAGAAGGUGACGGAAAACACCUCGGCUGGUUUUACAUCAGAGAAGAGCUUGAUGUGCAGCAUGAAGAUAUUUCAUGAGCAGAUGACCUGAGAGAGGCAGAAAACAUGAACAGGAGAUGCUGCCCUUGGGGAUUUGUUAACAAGUUCAGCUCUGGGAUUACCUCCGUGCUCCAUGUUGUCAAUGCCCGUCAGCCAUUACGGCCCACUGCCUGUCGCUGAGGAUUCUGGGAUGUGUUUUGGUAUGUGGGUGAAGUCGCCACAUGAGAACUGUGCAUCGUCUUGCCGUUCACACAAUGUAGAUUUAAGCACUUGUGACUUGUCAAACUUCUGUUUCAAAAGUUAAAACUUGUAAAUCAUGUGUCAUUAAGGGGAAAACAGCAAUUUAGGUGUUAGUGCUUCAUCAAUCAGAGAGAAACUCGAUGUCCUCGGUGGAGUCGCCCCACUGUGAUGCAGGUGGGGUGUCUCCUGGCUGUAGUUUGUAGUGAGUUUGCUGCCAUUGCAGUAUUAACCACCUGCUUCUCGCAAUCUCACAGUGGAUGUGUAUUUAUAUACCCGUUUACCGGGCCCCUCUCCCUGCCACCUUGUGGAACCCCAACGCCCACGGAGGGAGAGGGCCCCCCCCAACGCCGACAGCGGGAGAGAGGGCCCCCCAACACCCACGGUGGGAAAGGGCCCCCGGUGGUGCCACUGAACGCCGAUCACGCCACCAUGCUAAAUAGUGCGCCAAAAAUAACCUGUCCAGCUGAAGCAGACCCAGCCGGGUGGCUCUUCCAGCCACGGUGAGGCCCCUGGGGGACAGGAUGGGGCUGUAAACCCCCCCCUGCAUUCACAGGGGACCGAGCUGUCUGCCAGGGUGGGUAAGGUGUCACAAGACAUCGAUGCUCCAAAGACAUAAUGUGGAAACUAUGAGGGAGGAAUUUUAUUCAUGUGGAAGCCGAACCGGCUGCAAUGUGGGGGGGGGGGUUCAGGUAUCCGUAAUGGACUCUGUUCGCAGUACAGCCAGUGUGUUCGCUUGUAGCCCUGUAGAGCUGCAUACCUGUUACAUUUCUGUCUGGGCUCCUCGUAAAAUCUGCUCACAUUUGACAGCUUAAGGAGCAGUCAGUCAGUCGGCUGUGCCACGCUGUCCUGGGGGGUCCUGAGGACGGGGAAACGGGAGAUGCACAUAGCUUUAUGCUUUCUGGGGCUUGAGCUCAAAUUAGCCCGACG